UACGAAGGGGGCUAGCGUCGUUCGGAAUUACUGGGCGUAAAGCGCGCGCAGGCGGUUCUUCAAGUCAGAGGUGAAAGCCCAGGGCUCAACCUUGGAAUUGCCUUUGAUACUGGCUGUCUUGAGUUCGGGAGAGGUGAGUGGAAUGCCGAGUGUAGAGGUGAAAUUCGUAGAUAUCCGGAGGAACACCAGUGGCGAAGGCGGCUUCCUGGACCGACACUGACGCUGAGGCGCGAAAGCUAGGGGAGCAAACGGG
rnacentral:rRNA from 1 species